rnacentral:rRNA from 1 species
GGGGAAAUUCAAUACCGUCUUGACGGUGUGCACUUUUCUCCCAGUAAGACGCUGUGAUCCAUUAGAAAUCGGACCAUUCCAAUGGUUAGUGGGCUAUCAAAAGGCCGACAUGAAGUUCAGUGGUGUCGAUGGCAUGAUCAUAUACGGUUAUGUGUACGGCCCGCUGAGCAUGUUGAUACCUGAAAUAGCUGUCUGAUGGAUUUUAAAGGUCAUAUUACUGAUACUUUCGAGUAUCACCCAUUACSAUGG